rnacentral:misc_RNA from 1 species
AGUAAAAUAGUACGUGAAAUUGUUGAAAGGGAAACGAUUGAAGUCAGUCGUACCGACGAGAAAUCAACUUAUCGUGUGCGAACUUGUGGGCGUGCGUGAGUUUCGGCCUCGCUGUUUGCAUGUUUGUGUGCUUUGGGUGUACUUUUUCGUAUGGUAGGCCAACGUCAGUUUCGAUCACUAUAAAAUGACUGGCGGAAUGUAACUUCGAUUUCGGUUGAAGUGUUAUAGCCUCUGGUAGAUGUGGUGAUUGAGACUGAGGAUUGCAACGAAUAUCCUUUGGGCUAUCCGUCUGGCCUCUGAAAGUUGCUCAGGUGCCGAAAGCUUGCUUACGGUCAUCUAAGUUGACGGUCAACAGGUUAGAACGUGAUUACAUUCGUUAAGGACGUUGGCGUAAUGGCUUUAAA